rnacentral:rRNA from 1 species
UGGGGAAUAUUGGACAAUGGGCGAAAGCCUGAUCCAGCCAUGCCGCGUGUGUGAAGAAGGUCUUCGGAUUGUAAAGCACUUUAAGUUGGGAGGAAGGGCAGUAAGCGAAUACCUUGCUGUUUUGACGUUACCGACAGAAUAAGCACCGGCUAACUCUGUGCCAGCAGCCGCGGUAAUACAGAGGGUGCAAGCGUUAAUCGGAAUUACUGGGGGUAAAGCGCGCGUAGGUGGUUCGUUAAGUUGAAUGUGAAAGCCCCGGGCUCAACCUGGGAACUGCAUCCAAAACUGGCGAGCUAGAGUAGGGCAGAGGGUGGUGGAAUUUCCUGUGUAGCGGUGAAAUGCGUAGAUAUAGGAAGGAACACCAGUUGCGAAGGCGACCAGCUGGGCUCAUACUGACACUGAGGUGCGAAAGCGUGGGGAGCAAACAGG